rnacentral:rRNA from 1 species
AGGACGAACGCUGGCGGCGUGCUUAACGCAUGCAAGUCGAGCGGUAAGGCCUUUCGGGGUACACGAGCGGCGAACGGGUGAGUAACACGUGGGUGAUCUGCCCUGCACUCUGGGAUAAGCCUGGGAAACUGGGUCUAAUACCGGAUAUGACCUGCUCUCGCAUGGGGGUGAUGGAAAGAUUUAUCGGUGCAGGAUGGGCCCGCGGCCUAUCAGCUUGUUGGUGGGGUAAUGGCCUACCAAGGCGACGACGGGUAGCCGACCUGAGAGGGUGACCGGCCACACUGGGACUGAGACACGGCCCAGACUCCUACGGGAGCAGCAGUGGGAAUAUUGCACAAUGGGACGAAAGCCUGAUGCAGCGACGCCGCGUGAGGAUGAAGGCCUGGUUGUAACUCUUCAGCAGGACGAAGCGUGAGUAGACGGUACCUGACAGAAGAAGCACCGGACUAACUACGUGCCAGCAGCCGAC